rnacentral:rRNA from 1 species
UGGGGGAUAUUGCACAAUGGGCGAAAGCCUGAUGCAGCGACGCCGCGUGGGGGAUGAAGGCCUUCGGGUUGUAAACUUCUUUUGCUCUGAACAAGGCAUGCUAAUGGGUGUGUUGAGUGUAGGGGUUGAUUAGCGCCGGCUAACUACGUGCCAGCAGCCGCGGUAAUACGUAGGGCGCGAGCGUUGUCCGGAAUUAUUGGGCGUAAAGGGCUUGUAGGUGGCUGGUUGCGUCUGUCGUGAAAGCUCAUGGCUUAACUGUGGGUUUGCGUUGGGUACUGGCUGGCUUGAGUGCAGUAGGGGAGGCUGGAAUUCCUGGUGUAGCGGUGGAAUGCGCAGAUAUCAGGAGGAAUACCGGUGGCGAAGGCGGGUCUCUGGGCUGUUACUGACACUGAGGAGCGAAAGCAUGGGGAGCGAACAGG